GGGCUGUUAGCUCAGUUGGUAGAGCAGUUGACUUUUAAUCAAUUGGUCCCGCGUUCGAGUCGCGGACAGCCCACCA
rnacentral:tRNA from 24 species